rnacentral:rRNA from 1 species
GAACGAACGCUCGGCGGCGUGCUUAACACAUGCAAGUCGAACGCGAAAGGGACUUCGGUCCUGAGUAAAGUGGCGCACGGGUGAGUAACGCGUAGAUAACCUGUCUUCAUGUCUGGAAUAAUACGCCGAAAGGGGUACUAAUACCGGAUAUUCUUGCUUUUUCAUAAGUUAUGCAAGCAAAGGUGGCCUCUGCAUAUGCUACUGCAUGAAGAGGGGUCUGCGUACCAUUAGCUAGUAGGUGGGGUAAUGGCCUACCUAGGCGACGAUGGUUAGCGGGUCUGAGAGGAUGAUCCGCCACACUGGCACUGGAACACGGGCCAGACUCCUACGGGAGGCAGCAGUGAGGAAUAUUGCGCAAUGGGGGAAACCCUGACGCAGCGACGCCGCGUGAGUGAGGAAGGCCUUCGGGUCGUAAAGCUCUGUCAAGAGGAAAGAAGUGUACAAUGGCUAAUACCUGUUGUAUUUGACGGUACCUCUAAAGGAAGCACCGGCUAACUCCGUGCCAGCCGCCGC